GAUGAAAACGCAGCGAAAUGCGAUACUUGGUGUGAAUUGCAGAAUCCCGUGAACCAUCGAGUCUUUGAACGCAAGUUGCGCCCGAAGCCAUUAGGCCGAGGGCACGCCUGCCUGGGUGUCACACACCGUUACCCUCGCGCCAACGUCCAUCGUUGGCCGCGGCGCGGGGCGUGCGCUGACCUCCCGCGAGCGGGGUCUCGUGGUUGGUUGAAAAUCGAGUUCGCGGUCGAGGGUGCCGUGAUGAAAUGGUGGAUGGGCGACGCCCGAGGCCAAUCACGCGCGACUCUGUCCGGCUCGNANUCCUGGACCCCUUCGGCGUCUCCGGACGCUCUUUGGCGAGACCUCAGGUCAGGCGGGGCUACCCGCUGAGUUUAAGCAUAUCAAUAAGCGGAGGA
rnacentral:misc_RNA from 1 species